GGCUAGGUGAGCUCAGAGGUAGAGGACCUGUUUGUGACACAGGAGACAUCAGUUCGAGUCUGGUACCUGGCCA
rnacentral:tRNA from 1 species